AUUGAACGCUGGCGGCAGGCCUAACACAUGCAAGUCGAGCGAGCGGCGGACGGGUGAGUAAUGUAUGGGGACUGCCCGAUAGAGGGGGAUAACUACUGGAAACGGUGGCUAAUACCGCAUACCGUCAGAUUACCCAGAUGGGAUUAGCUAGUAGGUAAGGUAAUGGCUUACCUAGGCGACGAUCCCUAGCUGGUCUGAGAGGAUGAUCAGCCACACUGGAACUGAGACACGGCCCAGACUCCUACGGAGGCAGCAGUGGGGAAUAUUGCACAAUGGGCGCAAGCCUGAUGCAGCCAUGCCGCGUGUGUGAAGAAGGCCUUAGGGUUGUAAAGCACUUUCAGUCGGGAGGCGUUACCCACAGAAGAAGCACCGGCUAACUCCGUGCCAGCAGCCGCGGUAAUAC
rnacentral:rRNA from 1 species